AGUGAACGCUGGCGGUAGGCCUAACACAUGCAAGUCGAACGGAAGCACAGUAAGAGCUUGCUCUUACGGGUGGCGAGUGGCGGACGGGUGAGGAAUACAUCGGAAUCUACUUUUUCGUGGGGGAUAACGGAGGGAAACUUACGCUACUACCGCAUACGACCUACGGGUGAAAGCAGGGGAGCUUCGGACCUUGCGCGAUUGAAUGAGCCGAUGUCGGAUUAGCUAGUUGGCGGGGUAACGGCCCACCAAGGCGACGAUCCGUAGCUGGUCUGAGAGGAUGAUCAGCCACACUGGAACUGAGACACGGUCCAGACUCCUACGGGAGGCAGCAGUGGGGAAUAUUCGGCAAUGGGCGAAAGCCUGACCCAGCCAUACCGCGUGAGUGAAGAAGGUCUUCGGGUUGUAAAGCUCUUUUGUUAGGAAAGAAAAGCAGCAGGUUAAUACACCGCCGUUCUGACGGUACCCAAAGAAUAAGCACCGGCUAACUUCGUG
rnacentral:rRNA from 1 species